UGCUUUGGAGUUAGCCUCCUGGCUUCUGCAGCAUUAUUCCGUCCAUGAUGUGGGUGUGUGGUGAGAACAUGUGGUGGCUUUUUGUACAGCCACGUAUCCAGAGGACACAGUGACCUCAUAGGCUCAGCUCAAGCCCCGUGACCGCCUUCAGAAAGUUAUACUCCCAAGCAUACUGACACUGAAUGCCCCAGGCUUGGCAUCCUCAGCAGCACCCAGACUUCCUUUGUGGACUCGCCUAUGGGCUGGAUGCCCGCACCCUGCAGGCUGGCUCAUUUCCUUCCUGUCUGCUGAGUGUGGACCAGCUUCAGCCCAGAAACCCCAGAAGCGCAGUCUGCCAUCCAGGAGAUGCAACCAUGCCUUCCCUAACAAGACUCAGGGCUAAUCAAGCAGAGGAUUCUCCUGACCAAUUCACGAAGACUGUCGGUGUCUGAUGCUGUGUUGGGUGCAGGUACAGGAGCUUACACCCUGACUGUCAUAUUCAGGAGACAGAAGAAAGAGAGUUGCUAUGGGUGUGAUCCAACCUGGCCUCACAGUGAGUAGUAGACUCUUAAGAAAUGGAAUGAAACCACGUCUUGUCUACUGAUCUGUCUGCAAGGUUCACACAGUACAACAGGCAAGGAUGGAAGCCAUUUUUGUUAGAGUUCCUGUGUUGUUGGUGCAUCUAAGAGAAAUGCAAUUUGCUGACAGGAUCUUCAGCUUCUAAAGAGCUUCCCUUGCUAAGCAAUUUCGUCCCAUCCCCUAUGUCCAUCUUCAUCUAUCGUGGAUAGAUGGAUUUUAACAUCCUUGGUAGUAUGAUCGCUUCAUCCACAUGGAGGAUUUGUGGUAUCUACCGUAUAGAAAGGAGAAUGCACUUUAUAUAGAUUUUAGAAAACAAUGAUAUUAAAACUAUAUCUCCUUCCUGUAUUAGACACAGGUAAAAAUAAAUUAAAUCAGUGAUUUAAAAAAAAAACACUGAAUAACUUUGGUUUCAUGCAUACAAUUUACCAUGAAACAUUAAGUGUGGGUAAGUGGAAACAGGGGAAAAAGAGAUUAUCCACAAUAUAUACCAUAUAAGUUCAUACACUAUACAAGUUCAUUCUGGGACUCAACAAAAGAAAAGCAACAAGGAAGCAAUGAAGUGAUAGACCCAAGGGACUCCUUGAAAGUUGAUGACUAAUUAAAAUAUGGCUACAAGAAGUGCCCCUGCUAAUGAAUGGAUAUUGGAAUUGGGAAAUGAAUAUGGUUAAAUUUUUUAAAAUGGAUGAUUCACGAAGAAUGGAUUACAAAGGGCACUAACAUUGAAUUCCUCUUGUAACCCAAUGAAUUUAAGGGGAUUAUGGCAAAGCAUGUGACAAAGAAAACCUCAGACAUAUGUGUAGUGCUGUGGCCAAAGUGGGGGGGGGGCACCAGGCUGAAAUAAAGUAGUGGGAAGGAUUUUAUACAGAGAAGAAAUAGCAAGGGGGCUGUUUGGUAUUUUGAGCAUGGAGAUCUUUAUGAACAAAAGUUCUAAGCUGUGCUAAUUGAAGAAGAAAAUGUGUAAAGUGGGCAGGGGUACAUUCCAAGUAACAACAACAGAGUACUGGUGUGUGAUCACAUCAGGAUUGACUAAGGAGGGAGAAGCAGCUGCAGAAGAGGCAGUACCUACAUCGGCUGCAUUUAAAAUAUUUGCUGUGAGAAAGAAAAGUUUUCCAAACUGGGUCUGGAAAAAAAUAUUUGGCCAAGGUUUUAGCUGGGUGCCCACUAUUGGUAACUGAAACUUCGGAGUUUGUGGGUCUUGUUUGGAUGGUGCUGCAUCCAUUCUCAUCUGUAGAACCUUUAAUCUUUCUGCUACAGGACUCACUGGACUAUUCAGAGCUUCAGUUCUCUCUGUUGUGAAGUAUGGACAAUAAUUUCCAUUCAGAAUUAUUUUUUUUUAAGUUUGGUGAAGUAAUGUCUGCAAAACACUUAGCAGAAUGCAUGUCUUACAUAAAAGGUAAAAAAAAAAAAAAAAACGAUGUGUUUUAUAGGUGAGCACAGUGGUCCGUGGCUGUUAUCUCAGUUCUGGAGAAGCAGGAGCAGAAAGAUCAAAGGUUUGAGUUUCCAGAAGAUGAUGUCAUAAAAUCUAUAUAAGCAUAUGUAUGCAUAGAUGCUAUUUUCUUAAGAAACAAUUUUAAUGUUCCCAUGGGAGCAAGUGUAGACUGCAUCAUGCUGAAAUGAUCAAUGUCAGUCAAUUUAACAGUACCCAGAGACCAGUAUCUCAGAAACACAUAGUUCAGACAGCAACAUAAAGAAAGAAGGGAGACUUAUAGUCACCUUGGGUGAUGGAAUACAAUAGGAUAUUCUAGAGAUUGAAACAUGGCAUGAUACUCGGAAUGAAAGUUUUAGAAGAAGAUCCAGCAUCAGCCAGGGUCAGCCCAGAAUUUGUAGCUUGGUAAGUUUGUUUGGAAUCGUCUCUCUCUCUCUGGCCUAACCUGUGCUUGGUAAUUGCUCUUGAACGUCUCUGUGCACUUAGUAAGCUGUUGUUCCUGCCAUCACAAAUCUGUGAACAGGCUCUCCAUAAGAGUUUCUCACUUCUUGGACUGACAAAGAAGCAGAAGGUAACAUGAUCUUCAUCCCUGGGUCUGUUUAUAAAUUAUUCUUGGGCCAUGAAAAUAGCAUAGUCAUGAAUUCAUCAUUUUAAGGAAAUUCCUUUUGCUUGAAAAUAGAAUAUGUUUGGUUCCCAGUACUAAGCUUAUAAAUCCCUAUGAUUCCUUAUUUGGAAUUAAUCCUUCUGAAUUAAACUAGACCAUAAAAUCUGUGAUGGGUCAGACCAAACACGAACAACACACUACUGCUAUCCACCUAAAAAAAAAAGUGUGUGUCUGGGGGGACUUGAAUUGUAGCAUCUCAGGAGCAGUAAAUAUCUUACUACAAAGUGAGGCAGGAAUCUUAAACCUUUCUUACUUUGAGUCUUAAUUUUGGAUUGAGUUCAAUGUCAUGUUAACAAUUAAAUCUAUUUUAUGUUUUAUUGAUGUAAUUCUCCCUAUUGUAAAUGAUUUCCAUUUAUAAGGUCCUCUUAUGGCAAAGAGAACUUCUUAUUCUGUCUUACCAUCUGCUUUAUAAGGAAGAUAAAUAUGCAAAGCAGCAAUGUCAUAAAAGUUGCCUGUGUGUGGUCUGGGGCCUGCUUAAUGUAGAAUCAGAGGGCUUGGACUCAAGGUGCUUCCUCCCAUCACCUCCAACAAGAGAUCCCCACCUCUUCUUGAAUAGGGUAGUUUUAAGGCAUACUGACUACUGCAGUUCAUCAUUGAGUUUAAAUCCCUACUGAAUAUGUCCCUUAACAAAGGGACCCCCAUUCUCAGGUAUAACUAUAAAUGAAGAACUCCUGGAUAUUCAAAGCAUGACUGUGAGUAAAUUCUUCCACUCUUCUAUGACCUGUCAAUAAAAAGCAAUCUUGUUUAACAUUUAUUAUGCUAGAGCACCUUUAAGAAUGAAAAUGUACACUUGAUCUUAGCCAAAAAGAUGUGGAGAAAGAGGAACACUUCUCCACUGCUGGUGGGAGUGCCAACUUGUACAGCCACUUUGGAAAUC